GAUGAAGAACGUAGCGAAAUGCGAUAAGUAAUGUGAAUUGCAGAAUUCAGUGAAUCAUCGAAUCUUUGAACGCACAUUGCGCCCGCUAGUAUUCUGGCGGGCACGCCUGUCCGAGCGUCAUUUCAACCCUCAAGCCCCCGGGCUUGGUGUUGGGGAUCGGCGAGCCUCCGCGCCCGCCGUCCCCUAAAUCUAGUGGCGGUCUCGCUGUAGCUUCCUCUGCGUAGUAGCACACCUCGCACUGGGAAACAGCGCGGCCACGCCGUUAAACCCCCAACUUCUGAACGUUUGACCUCGGAUCAGGUAGGAAUACCCGCUGAACUUAAGCAUAUCAAUAAGCGGAGGA
rnacentral:misc_RNA from 1 species